rnacentral:snRNA from 1 species
AGUUUUGCACAGUGGCAGUAUCAAAGCCAAAGAGGUUUAUCCAAGACAUGAGUAUUGCUAAUUGAAAACUUUCCCCAACACCUGGCUGUGAUGACUUGCAAUUGAUCUAUCUAAACUUCCUUCUUUA